rnacentral:sRNA from 1 species
ACAUGUCCUUAACCUUGGCACAACAAAUCUCUAAAUCGAUUGAGACCUGUCUCAGAUACUUCUUGGUUUACAAGAUGGAGGCUGAAAUUAAAGAGAAAGAUCCUCACUCAACUCACAGAGGAGCAGAAUGGGAAGAGGACUUAGUGAGAAUUCCCUGAACACAGGAGAAAACCGAAGCCCAGAGAGUGGAUGGCCAAGUCCAAGGUCACACAGCCAAGUGCAUCCGAGCAGCGCAGGAUCCAGGUUUCCUGCCCCAGUGCUCUUUCUGCAGCCCAUGCCACCUGUUUUCAUGCUAUCUCAGUUCACCUUCCAGCUACACACCUGCAAUCAGAAACAGAAAGUCUGAGAGAGUGUGUGGAGCCAAAGAGGGGACAGCAGUGGUGAGGCCAGUUUCAUGUCUUGUGAUUUAUUUUCUCCCUUUCUUUUUGGACUUUAAUCUUAAGUGGACAGCAAUUUGGAACAGUGUCAGCACCUUGUUGGAUUGUGCUGUUUGGGAGAGGUGACACAGAGUAUUUUAAAGGAGCAGGUUAAGAACUUUUCAUAAGGAAUCAAUUGAGAGAAAAUAAAAUAGAAACAGACUGUCCCACAUUUGGGCUGAGCACCAAACACAUUUUUUUUUUUUUUUUUUUGAGACUGAGUCUUGCUCUGUCACUCAGGCUGGAAUGCAGUGGCGCGAUCUCGGCUCACUGCAGCCUUCGCCUCCCGGGUUCAAGUGAUUCUUCUGCCUCAGCCUCCCAAGUAGCUGGGAUUACAGGUGCCCACCACCAUGCCAGGCUAAUUUUUGUAUUUUUAGUAGAGACGAGGUUUCACCAUGUUGGCCAGGCUGGUCUUGAACUCCUGACCAAGUGAUCCACCUGCUUCGGCCUCCCAAAGUGCUGGGAUUACAGGCACGAGCCACUGCACCUGGCCUCAAACAAGCUUUUUAAUUGCAUUCAGAAGUGCACCAACUAGGCACAGACCUCUGGCAUGGAGACAGAAUGGGCGGUUCUUGGUGUCUGGCCUGGUCUUGCAGAAAUCAGGGAGUUGCGGGGACCAGGCAGCCACUGUGCAUCAGAUAGGAGUUUCAGCAGCAGGCAACAGAAAGCCUGCCAAUGUAGCUGAAAUAAGAAGGGCUUAUUUUUAUCCCUGAACAGAAGCUUCCAGCACUGGUUCAUCAGAUCAGGGCACUGAGCUGGCAUCCCCAUUUACACAGUUUUCCUUUCCUUCACCUUUGUAAGAUGCCUGGCACAGCUCUGAGCAUCAAAUAUCUGUGCCAUGUGGGAGCACACGAGGGGACAAGUGGGGAAUAGGGUCUCCUCUGUCCUCUGUCCCCAGGCUGGCUUCUCUCAUGGUAGAAGGACCCCCACAGCACCAGGCCUCAUAACUACCCUGCUGGUAAACUGCAGGUGCUGUCACGGCUUCCUGCCUUCGUAUAUGAAAUGUUCCUUGGCAGUUGGACUGCUGUUUGUUUACCGCACGCACAGCUCUGCUGCGUCUUGGUUACACCAGUGAGCUAUUGCUCCAUGACAAGCCACACCGAAAUGUAGCAAGCACUUAUUGUUGCCCACAUGUCUCAAGUCAGUUGAGUGUUUCUGCCAAUCGGGGCCUGGCUUGGCCCACCUUGGCUGAGCUUGCUCUGGUGCUAGGGUCAGCUAGACAGGUCGGCAGGGGAGACCAGCUGCUCUAGAAGAGCCUGGACAGGAUGAAUUGGUUCUCCUUCCACAUGCAUCUUGCAUCCCUCUAGCCAAGGAUUUGAACCCAGGUCUCGUCUGACUCCAAAUGCACCAAGAGGAUGGAGCCCAGAGUGACACAGAGGAAGAGGCCCCUGGAUGGAUGCAUGGGGAAGGUUAGAAGCAAGGCACAAGUCAUACCUACAUUCAAGGAGAGGGGACCAUGCAAAGGAUAAACUGCAGAGAGACAACAGAUUUACAUCCCAGACACACUGGGCCAAGAGCAGCUGCCAUUGCAGAUUCGAGUCACGUCCUUUUUUCCCUCCUUCUCCUUCUUGGAGUUACAACAGAAGCUGGGGAGGUGAGAGUGCAGAAAGGACGUGGAUGAAGCAGAGAGGCACGUGCCUGUCUCAUUCGCCUCUGGAUCUGCUGCACCCAGGACCGUGCCAGCACAAAGUGGGAGCCCGAUAAAUAUUUAUUGAAGAAAUGAAAGGUGACAAAAGGCAGGAGGGAGACCCCCAAAAGAGUAUGAACCCAGCAUCACAGUGCACUUGUGGCAGAUGGCAGUGCACACCCGGGAGCUACUCUCCUCCGGCCAGAUGCCCUUCUCCCAGCUGCCCGCCGUGUGGCAGCUCUACCCCGGGAGGAAGUACCGAGCAGCGGAUUCCAGUUUCUGGGAAAUAGCAGACCAUGGCCAGAUUGACUCUAUGGAGCAGCUGGUCCUAACAUAUCAGCCGGAGAGGAAAGACUGACACUGGGAGUGGCUGGCCCUGCCGGCCCUGCCUCUUCUGGCCUGGUGUCUCCUCAUGCCCCCUCAGUGAGGAUCUUCAUGUACCUGCUCUUCUGUUUGCACACCCAGCAUAGCCUCCUUGCGGGCGGAAGGCAGUAGGGCCCCUGCACACUCAGUUUCUCUCGUUUUCCUUAGUUAUCAGUCCUGUCCUGUACCACUCGGGUCUGCACUUAGGGCAGCUGGCCUGGAUGGGCUUCACUGGGGCCCUGUCUGUGCGCUGAGCCAGUUUCCCCUGCUGCCUGCAAGCUGUGGGUUCUUUCUCCUCUGUGCCCCUCAUGCUGAUCUUCUAGAUGCCACUCCCAAAUCCCCUUCAUACCCACCAGGAUGUGUGCCCAGCCAGGCCUCCAGCACCCCCAGUGCAGCUCAUGAUUGGAAACUCACCAUCGGCAGGCAGUGGUUUGGUUUAAGAGAUGGCAUUAGAGGGAGCCCAGUCUGGAUGUGGACUUGGAUGCCCCGUGGGUAUCAGUUCUGCUGACACUUUGGCCCAAAAUAGAUCCAGUGCUGAGCAAGCAAUGUACACCGGAGCCUCAGUGAGCCCAUCUGCACAGUGGGGAGCAUGGAGGGAUGGGUUUGGCCUGUGCUUCUGCUUGUUCAGUCCUUCAGCUCACGGAAGGGAUGCUAGUCCGUGAAGGUGACCUCACAGUACUGGUUAAUUAAACUUUAUUGCUCACUGUC